rnacentral:rRNA from 1 species
UACGUAGGGGCCUAGCGUUGUUCGGAUUUACUGGGCGUAAAGGGCGCGCAGGCGGCGCAUUUUGUCAGGCGUGAAAGCCCCGGGCUUAACCUGGGAACUGCGUUUGAUACGGAUGGGCUAGAGUUCGGGAGAGGAGAGUGGAAUUCCCAGUGUAGAGGUGAAAUUCGUAGAUAUUGGGAAGAACACCGGUGGCGAAGGCGGCUCUCUGGACCGAGACUGACGCUGAGGCGCGAAAGCGUGGGGAGCAACAGG